AUCAGUAGAUUGUGAUACCCUGCCAGCGUGGUUCGAAGGCGUGUGGCUCUUGAAGAAUUUCUGCGGCACCGCCAAGUAGUAUCACAGUCCUGCUUAGGUG
rnacentral:pre_miRNA from 1 species